rnacentral:rRNA from 1 species
AGUCACUGACAUUAGAUACCCCGCGUAGUCCCAGCCGUAAACUAUGCGCGUUAGGUGUAUCGGUGACCACGAGUUACCGAGGUGCCGAAGGGAAACCGUGAAACGUGCCGCCUGGGAAGUACGGUCGCAAGGCUGAACUUAAGGAAUUGCGGGGAGCACCGCAACAGGUGGAGCCUGCGGUUUAAUUGGACUCAACGCCGGGAAGCUCACCGGAUAGGACAGCAGAAUGAUUGCCGGGCUGAAGACCCUGCAUGACUAGCUG